CCUUAUAGACUACGAGGUUGAUAGGAUGGAAGUGUACGUGUAGUAAUACAUUCAGCUGACCAUUACUAAUAAAUUGAUAGGUUUAAAAG
rnacentral:rRNA from 1 species